rnacentral:rRNA from 1 species
UACAGAGGUCUCAACCGUUGUUCGGAUUCAUUGGGCGUAAAGGGUGCGUAGGCGGUCGUGCAAGUCGGAUGUGAAAUCUCAGGGCUCAACCCUGAAACUGCAUUCGAUACUGCGCGGCUAGAGUGCUGGAGGGGAGACUGGAAUUACGGUGUAGCAGUGAAAUGCGUAGAUAUCGUGAAGGAAGACCAGUGGCGAAGGCGGAUCUCUGGACAGUCACUGACGCGAGCGACGAGCCAGGGGAGCAAACGGG